UGGAACAGCACACUCACGACGUGGGAAGGUCACAGAAAUGUUGAAAGACAUCAGAUGUGUGGAAACGUCGUAGCGGAUGAAUGUGAAUUAUGGAUCUCCAAGUGGCGUCGCCCGCGUCAUUUUCAAGAUUUUACCCGUUUUGAAGGUACGUAGUGAAUGUGCGAGGCAUUCACGUUCCUACUACGUGGUUAUCCAUGCGUUUCCCGUCUUCGCAGGCAAUAGGGCUGUUGAUAGGGAGAAUGCUAGGCUACUGCAGACUGCAACCAUAGGCGCUGUGUCUAAAGGUUAAGCUCACAUGACGCGGCAGGGAAGGGAGUCCGUGGCGAAAAGUGAAUAUAGCCGA